rnacentral:rRNA from 1 species
GCGGUGGAUGAUGUGGUUUAAUUCGAUGAUACGCGAGGAACCUUACCUGGGCUUAAAUGCAGAGUGCAUUGGUGUGAAAGCAUCAUUUUCUUCGGAACUUUCUGGCAAGGUGCUGCAUGGUUGUCGUCAGCUCGUGCCGUGAGGUGUCGGGUUAAGUCCCAUAACGAGCGCAACCCUUAUCGUUAGUUGCCAGCGGGUAAAGCCGGGGGACUCUAACGAAACUGCCGGUGUAAACCGAGAGGAAGGUGGGGAUGACGUCAAAUCAGCACGGCCCUUAUGUCCAGGGCUACACACGUGUUACAAUGGCCGGUACAGAGGGCAGCUACCUGGAGACAGGAUGCGAAUCUCGAAAGCCGGUCUCAGUUCGGAUCGGAGUCUGCAACCCGACUCCGUGAAGCUGGAUUCGCUAGUAAUCGCGCAUCAGCCAUGGCGCGGUGAAUACGUUCCCGGGCCUU